ensembl:lncRNA
CCAGCCUCUGCAAGGCUUAUUAUAAGUACAGUGAACAAUCACACUCCCACACGUAGGCACACACACACAUACAGAGACAUACGCACACACACACACACACGCAUGCACGCGUACAGACACCCACACCCUCACAGACCACCUCCAGACAGAGAGCCAGCCGAGGGGUUAGGUUGAAGUAUGCUAAGGUGCUGGGCGACACCGCCCUCAGAGGUGCACACACACACACACACACACACACACACACACACACACACACACACACACACACACACACACACACACACACACACACAUACACACGCACACGCACACGCACACACACACACACACAACGUAUCAGGAUUAUUUUGGUCAUUAACAUUUGCGUAUAUUUCGGCAGCAUUAUUAUAAGCGAAUUAACGGAAGAGCUGAAGCAGUGAAAUAGUAAAAAAAAGGCAUUGUUUUGAAGUGUGACCUUUGUUUAUGUGUUUGUAUUAUUAUAGAGCGGUAAAGUGAUUCCAUAACCGAGCAAUCCCUGGCCGUCCCCAAGAUAAGCGGGCAGCAGAAGCUCGAACUGAAUUCAAGGAGAAGCAAACAGCAAAACCAGUGGAAUACCAAAUGCAGAGUUCUAACGGGAGAAACGUUGCGACGGGCCUUCUAUCAAACAGAGGCUUGCCAGGAUACCUGUGGAGAGCUGGGGACAGGUCAAGGCGGCGU